GACGAACGCUGGCGGCGUGCCUAACACAUGCAAGUCGAGCGGAGAUAGACUGAUGGUAACUGAAGCUUAUCUUAGCGGCGGACGGGUGAGUAACACGUGGGCAACCUGCCUUGGAGUGGGGGAUAACACCGGGAAAUCGGUGCUAAUACCGCAUAACAUACACAAACUGCAUGGUAAGUGUAUCAAAGGAGUAAUCCGCUUUAAGAUGGGCCCGCGGCUGAUUAGCUAGUUGGUAAGGUAACGGCUUACCAAGGCGACGAUCAGUAGCCGACCUGAGAGGGUGGACCGGCCACACUGGAACUGAGACACGGUCCAGACUCCUACGGGAGGCAGCAGUGGGGAAUAUUGCGCAAUGGGGGGAACCCGUGACGCAGCAACGCCGCGUGGAGGAAGAAGGUCUUCGGAUUGUAAACUCCUGUCUUCUGGGACGAAGUAUGACGGGUACCAGAGGAGGAAGCCCACGGCUAACUACGUG
rnacentral:rRNA from 1 species